rnacentral:rRNA from 1 species
UACGGAGGGGGCUAGCGUUGCUCGGAAUUACUGGGCGUAAAGCGCGCGUAGGCGGACCUGCAAGUCGGGGGUGAAAGCCCGAGGCUCAACCUCGGAACUGCCUUCGAUACUGCGGGUCUCGAGUCCGGGAGAGGUGAGUGGAAUUCCUAGUGUAGAGGUGAAAUUCGUAGAUAUUAGGAAGAACACCAGUGGCGAAGGCGGCUCACUGGCCCGAUACUGACGCUGAGGCGCGAAAGCGUGGGGAGCAAACAGG